UACGAAGGGGGCUAGCGUUGUUCGGAAUUACUGGGCGUAAAGCGCACGUAGGCGGACUGUUAAGUCAGGGGUGAAAUCCCGGGGCUCAACCCCGGAACUGCCUUUGAUACUGGCAUUCUCGAGUCCGGAAGAGGUGAGUGGAAUUCCGAGUGUAGAGGUGAAAUUCGUAGAUAUUCGGAGGAACACCAGUAGCGAAGGCGGCUCACUGGUCCGGUACUGACGCUGAGGUGCGAAAGCGUGGGGAGCAAACAGG
rnacentral:rRNA from 1 species